UUCAUACAAAGUAAGAGAAUGUAUUUUAUCUUGAUUUUUCUUUAAAUGAUUUUUUCAUUAUUAAAUCUUAAAUAUGAUUGUAAAUGAAGAGCGUACUUUUCGAACUGUAUCAAAAGAAACAGUUCGAAUCACGAAGAAUAAAUCACACUUAUAGCGCUAUCAGAAUAAUGACAGAGAAACGAAAGCAAAGUUCAAGUUUAACAUAUAAAGCAGUUUCCGAGAGACCGAAUCGAUGGGUAAUAUAUCUGAAACAAAAUUUGGGUUUAAGAAAAUUGACAAGAUCGA